UUGUGAUUGAAAAUGCUAAACAAGAACUUAAAAAGAUGAGACAAAAGCACAGAGAGGUUAAAUGACUUGUCUAAGGUUACAUAGAUGAAAAGUGGCAGAGCCAGGAUUCAAACCCAGCUCCCUGUGAUCUCAUGAUGUGGUUGAAUUAGUGGUCGUGGGAACAUCUACACCAGGGAAAUUGAAACACUUGGAAAAGUACCUAUCCAAGGUCUUGGAAGCAUGAAGAACCAUCCCUUAACAACGUGAGCCAACCGUCUAUAAUUUAGUCAUUUGCAGAAUGAGGAACUUCAUGUAGAUGACCUCUGAUUCCUUCCAUCUCUAACAUGAUAUAUUUCUCUCACUUCAUAGAC